rnacentral:rRNA from 1 species
UACAGAGGUCUCAAGCGUUGUUCGGAUUCAUUGGGCGUAAAGGGUGCGUAGGUGGCGGGGUAAGUCAGGUGUGAAAUUUCGGAGCUUAACUCCGAAACUGCAUUUGAUACUGCCUUGCUUGAGGACUGGAGAGGAGACUGGAAUUCACGGUGUAGCGGUGAAAUGCGUAGAUAUUGGGAGGAACACCAGUGGCGAAGGCGGCUCACUGGACCGGAACUGACGCUGAGGCGCGAAAGCGUGGGGAGCAAACAGG